rnacentral:rRNA from 1 species
GAUGAACGCUGGCGGCGUGCCUAAUACAUGCAAGUCGAGCGAACAGACGAGGAGCUUGCUCCUCUGACGUUAGCGGCGGACGGGUGAGUAACACGGGGAUAACCUACCUAUAAGACUGGGAUAACUUCGGGAAACCGGAGCUAAUACCGGAUAAUAUAUUGAACUGCAUGGGGCAAGAGUGAAAGACGGUUGUGCUGUGACUAAUAGAUGGAUCAGCGCCGCAUUAGCUAGUUGGUAAGGUAACGGCUUACCAAGGCAACGAUGCGUAGCCGACCUGAGAGGGUGCUAUGCCACGCUGGACCUGGGGCACGGUCCAGACCCCUGCGGGAGGCAGCCGUCGCGAAUCCUCCCGGAUGGGCGAAAGCGUGACGGUGCAACGCCGCGUGAGUGCUUAAGGCCUUCGGAUCGUAAAACUCUUUUAGUAGGUAAGGUCGAAUGUGUAAGUUACUAGGCACGUCUUUACGGUACCCAAUCAGAAAGCCACGGCUAACUACCUU